GGAACAUUUUUCCUGCAUAUAGCUUGCCCAGUCCUUUUAUAAUUUUAUAUGUUUCUAUAAGAACCCCCUCAUCCUUCUAAUCUUCAGUGAAUACGAGCCUAGUCUUUUCAAUCUUUCCUGGU